AUGUUCUAACGUCGACCCCUAAUCGGGGUUGCGGACAGUGCCUGGUGGGUAGUUUGACUGGGGCGGUCUCCUCCCAAAGAGUAACGGAGGAGCACGAAGGUGGGCUAAUCACGGUUGGACAUCGUGAGGUUAGUGCAAUGGCAUAAGCCCGCUUGACUGCGAGAAUGACAAUUCGAGCAGGUGCGAAAGCAGGUCAUAGUGAUCCGGUGGUUCUGAAUGGAAGGGCCAUCGCUCAACGGAUAAAAGGUACUCCGGGGAUAACAGGCUGAUACCGCCCAAGAGUUCAUAUCGACGGCGGUGUUUGGCACCUCGAUGUCGGCUCAUCACAUCCUGGGGCUGAAGUCGGUCCCAAGGGUAUGGCUGUUCGCCAUUUAAAGUGGUACGCGAGCUGGGUUUAGAACGUCGUGAGACAGUUCGGUCCCUAUCUGCCGUGGGCGUUGGAAGAUUGAAGGGGGCUGCUCCUAGUACGAGAGGACCGGAGUGGACGAACCUCUGGUGUUCGGGUUGUGUCGCCAGACGCAUUGCCCGGUAGCUAAGUUCGGAAUCGAUAACCGCUGAAAGCAUCUAAGCGGGAAGCGAGCCCUGAGAUGAGUCUUCCCUGAUACUUUAAGUAUCCUAAAGGGUUGUCGGAGACUACGACGUUGAUAGGUCAGGUGUGUAAGUGCUGUGAGGCAUUGAGCUAACUGAUACUAAUUGCCCGUGAGGCUUAACCAU
rnacentral:rRNA from 1 species